rnacentral:rRNA from 1 species
ACGGAGGGUGCAAGCGUUGUUCGGAAUUACUGGGCGUAAAGCGCGCGUAGGCGGUUUUACAAGUCAGAUGUGAAAGCCCAUGGCUCAACCAUGGACGUGCAUUUGAAACUGUAAGACUUGAGUAUUGGAGGGGGUGGUGGAAUUCCCGGUGUAGAGGUGAAAUUCGUAGAUAUCGGGAGGAAUACCAGUGGCGAAGGCGACCACCUGGCCAAAUACUGACGCUCAUGUGCGAAAGCGUGGGGAGCAAACAGGAUUAGAUACCCUGGUAGUCCACGCCGUAAACGAUGUCAACUAGGUGUUGGGACGGUUAAUCGUCUCAUUGCCGCAGCUAACGCAUUAAGUUGACCGCCUGGGGAGUACGGUCGCAAGAUUA